rnacentral:snoRNA from 1 species
GGCCUUGUUGAGGUGGUAAAUAUGGGCACACUUUACUUUUGUGUCCCAGUUGAUCAAUGAGGCUACAGAAAAACAGGUUAUGCUUCCAUCAUUGUAAGGCCAGUUACACUGGUGACAAUGAGGCCUGUAAUAAGA